GAUGAAGAACGUAGCAAAAUGCGAUACUUGGUGUGAAUUGCAGAAUCCCGUGAACCAUCGAGUUUUUGAACGCAAGUUGCGCCCGAAGCCUUUUGGCCGAGGGCACGUCUGCCUGGGCGUCACGCAUCGCGUCGCCCCCCACAAUUCUCCGUAAAGGGAACGUGUGUUUUGGGGGCGGAUAUUGGUCUCCCGUGCUCAUGGCGUGGUUGGCCGAAAUAGGAGUCCUUUCGAUGGACGCACGAACUAGUGGUGGUAGUAAAAUCCCUCGUCUUUUGUUUCGUGCUGUUGCUCGCAAGGUAAACUCUUUAAAAACCCCAAUGUGUCGUCUCUUGACGACGCUUCGACCGCGACCCCAGGUCAGGCGGGACUACCCGCUGAGUUUAAGCAUAUCAAUAAGCGGAGGA
rnacentral:misc_RNA from 1 species